rnacentral:lncRNA from 1 species
AGGCAGGCGCCGGAACCACUGAGCUAAAUCCCCUGCCCUGAGUUUUGACUUCUAUUUAUUUAUUGGAAGUUUUAUCCUCAUCAAUCUGAAAUGGUGUUAUUGCUUUGUCUCUGGGCCCCAGGAGACAGUUGCUUCCUGCUCGGCCUGGGUAGUGACCAGGGCCUCCUGGCAGGCAUCCUGCAGUGGGAGGUGGUCCUCAGCUGGGUGGCCAUCUUUACUCUGUUUUCAGAUUGCAUGUCUGAUAAUACAUAUGUAAAACAGUUUUAUUUGAAAUACAAGAGUGUGCAGCUUAAGCUUGACCUGUGCCGCAGUGGCUGUCACCAAGUAGGGCCUUACACAGAUCACUGUAGGUUGAGAGCCCACACAGGGUCCCUUAGUCACUGUAGCACUUGACAAACAGCAGCUAUUUUUAGAAUUUCUUGCAUCACAUUUAUAUCUUAAAAGCAUAUAUAAAGUUUCCUGUUUUCAUCAUUCAGUCCUACCCAGACAAAAAGGCAGCUUUCAAGGUGGCUUUUAAGUGGACCACGUUUUCAGAGGUAAUACUAUGUCGGAUGGUUUAAGAAUUGAUGGUUGAGGGCCGGGGAUGUAGCUCAGUGGUGCUGCUGCCUGCCUUGCAAGCACAAGGUUCUGAGUUCGAUCCCCUGGUUCCAAAAAAAAAGAAUUGAUGGUUGAGUGAAAAAUCUUGGGAGAAAGAGUAAACACCCCAACCUUUUCCGUUCAUGUUUGUCCCUGCUUGGGAAGAAACUGAGUGUCAGGCUGGCGGUUCUCUGAGAGAAAGGGGCUGCCUGUGACCUCUGUGCCAGUGGCCCAGCAGGUCUGGAGCACACUCAGGGCACAAUGCUCCUGGAGUCCUGCCUGGGGUGACAGCCUGGCUCCUGCUACCCUUGGGCCCUCCCAGAAUCCCUGGCAACCUCAGACAAAAAGGACCCAGGGGGAAGACACUUUGGAGCUGGAGGUGACAUUCAAAAUCCCAAGUUACUAUCUGAAUUGUUUUGGGCUCCUGGUGAGGUCUGAGGCAGAGCCCGAGGAUGGGAGCUUGGGCUGACAUUCCUGAACUGUCAGCUGGGGUCUGCCUGAGGCCUCGGGGGUGGCAACUGCAACCCCGUGCGUAGGGGUUUAGAGGAAGUCACAAGCACUGACUUGGGGUAGAGCAGGGUCGCUUGGCGGGCAGUCAGUGUGCAGACUCUGCAGUGAGGCAGUGAGCGGUGCUGAACACCGGCUCCAGUACCGACACGCUGGGGAGAGCAGGGCUUGGUGUCUUAAUCUUGCUGGUUUCAAGAUUAGAAAAUGAUGUAUUUGCUCUGAUACGUUUGAGAAGACAAAAAUAAAGUUACUUUGGGCAGAAUUUGGCGUUUUUCUUUCUUUUUACCAAUUCAUGUUAUUUUCAAAGCA